UACAUGGGGUGCAAACGUUGCUCGGAAUUAUUGGGCGUAAAGCGCGCGUAGGCGGUUAUCUAAGUCGGAUGUGAAAGCCCUCGGCUUAACUGAGGAAGUGCACCCGAAACUGGAUAGCUAGAGUACGAAAGAGGGUCGCGGAAUUCCCGGUGUAGAGGUGAAAUUCGUAGAUAUCGGGAGGAACACCGGUGGCGAAGGCGGCGACCUGGGUCGAGACUGACGCUCAUGCACGAAAGCGUGGGGAGCAAACAGG
rnacentral:rRNA from 1 species